rnacentral:rRNA from 1 species
CCGCAAGGCCUCACGCGAUUGGGUUGGNNGAUGUCCGAUUAGCUAGUUGGCGGGGUAAAAGCCCACCAAGGCGACGAUCCGUAGCUGAUCUGAGAGGACGACCAGCCACACUGGAACUGAGACACGGUCCAGACUCCUACGGGAGGCAGCAGUGGGGAAUUUUGGACAAUGGGGGCAACCCUGAUCCAGCCAUGCCGCGUGAGUGAAGAAGGCCUUCGGGUUGUAAAGCUCUUUCGGCGGGGACGAAACGGUUCGUGACAACACCACGGACUAAUGACGGUACCCGCAUAAGAAGCACCGGCUAACUACGUGCCAGCAGCCGCGGUAAUACGUAGGGUGCGGGCGUUAAUCGGAAUUACUGGGCGUAAAGCGUGCGCAGGCGGCCUCUUAAGUCAGAUGUGAAAUCCCCGGGCUUAACCUGGGAACUGCGUUUGAAACUGGGAGGCUAGAGUGUGGAAGAGGGGGGUGGAAUUCCAGGUGUAGCAGUGAAAUGCGUAGAGAUCUGGAGGAACACCGAUGGCGAAGGCAGCCCCCUGGGCUGACACUGACGCUCAUGCACGAAAGCGUGGGGAGCAAACAGGAUUAGAUACCCUGGUAGUCCACGCCCUAAACGAUGUCAACUGGUUGUCGGGGAAGUUAUUCCUUGGUAACGAAGCUAACGCGUGAAGUUGACCGCCUGGGGAGUACGGCCGCAAGGUUAAAACUCAAAGGAAUUGACGGGGACCCGCACAAGCGGUGGAUUAUGUGGAUUAAUUCGAUGCAACGCGAAAAACCUUA